UGAGAGCAUGCGCCCUUCUCCAUGGGAACCGCCAGGAAGUCCGGAGAAGCCUCCAGCUGCACGCUGACCUGCAACACACCUGCAGGCUGUGCCCCUCCACCACCCGGACCCGCCUGAAGCUGGGAAGCCAGCCAAACCGGGGGCCGGGGUCCAGCGGCAGCCGAGGGUGGUCGCGGCGGCCGGAAUCUCCACACGGAUGUCCCAAGCAAAGCCCGCUUGGCUCAGUCAAGCCACUUACUCUACCACCAGCAGCUCCCAGAUCCAGGCCUCAGGGAAGUACUUUCUCACAGUCUCCGCCUGAACCGACGACUCCCAGGAGACUUCGUUCUCCCAGGACAUUUCGGAGUCCAUCUUUUUGAGGGAAUCCAUCGCUUCUCACAGAGGAGAAGGGGGAGCCCACAGUCAGCCCAGGCCUCUUUUCCGAACUGCCCAGCCCAGAUCACUCUCUUCCCCUCUACCCCCCUCCCUCUUCCAAUCACCCCCUCCCCACACCCUGAUUAACUCCUCCUCCCCCCUGCUCAGCACGCUGGCCUGAGGCUUGUCUCAUCUUCUUCAGGUAAAGCAGGGCAGGAGUGGGAAGAAGUAAAACUGGCUGGGGUUGGGGAGGUGGGGAGGAUUCUAAAGGCCUGGCUGGAGGAUUCUCACCCCAAUUCCCAGAAGAUGCUCUUGAAGAGGAGGGAGGGGACAUUCUUUGCCCCAUCCUUCAGCUCCCUGAGGCAGGCUGCUGAUCCCUCCCUCUGGCUGGAUUUGCCAUCUUACACCCCUCAAGUGUCUGCCACGGAUGCUUGCUGGGCCUUCUAGCCUUGAGUCUAAGUCUCUGUCCUGCUUCUGACGUGCUGAGUAUUUCCCUUCCCUGUCUCCUCCGAACCCGACGGAUGGGUGGAUGGGCGGAUGGACCGACCACUCCAAAGUACUGGGUCUGGCCCUGCAUCCACCUUCCUUCCCCUAUUUCAGCCCGAAUCCCCUCUGCAAACUGGAGUCCAGUAAAUUAUUGCCAAAUUUCUACCAA